CCUACGGGUGGCAGCAGUGGGGAAUAUUGGGCAAUGGGCGCAAGCCUGACCCAGCAACGCCGCGUGAAGGAAGAAGGUUUUCGGUAUGUAAACUUCUAUCAGCCGGGAAGAAAAUGACGGUACCUGACUAAGAAGCCCCGGCUAACUACGUGCCAGCAGCCGCGGUAAUACGUUGGGGGCAAGCGUUAUCCGGAUUUACUGGGUGUAAAGGGAGCGUAGGCGGUUUAGCAAGUCAGAAGUGAAAGCCCGGGGCUCAACGCCGGGACUGCUUUUGAAACUGUUGAACUAGAUUGCAGGAGAGGUAAGUGGAAUUCCCAGUGUAGCGGUGAAAUGCGUAGAUAUCAGGAGGAACACCAGUGGCGAAGGCGGCUUACUGGACUGUAAAUGACGCUGAGGCUCGAAAGCGUGGGGAGCAAACAGGAUUAGAUACCCUAGUAGUC
rnacentral:rRNA from 1 species